rnacentral:lncRNA from 1 species
ACAACAGCAACAACAUCAACAGCAACAACAGCAGCAACAACAACAACAACAACAACAAGAACAACGACAACGACAACAACAACGGCAACGACAACGACGACGACGACGACGACAACAACAACAAUAACAACAACAACCACAACAACAACAACAACAACAACAACAACAACAACAACAACAACAACAACCACAACAACAACAACAACAACAACAACAGCGACG